GAGUUUGAUCGUGGCUCAGAACGAACGCUGGCGGCGUGGAUAAGACAUGCAAGUCGAACGCGUGGCUUCGGCCACGAGUGGCGCACGGGUGAGUAGCGCGUGGGAACCUGCCUUUGGGUUCGGGAUAACCGCGGGAAACUGCGGCUAAUACCGGAUGUCCCCUGCGGGGGAAAGAUUUAUCGCCCCAGAGAGGGGGCCCGCGUCCGAUUAGGUAGUUGGUGAGGUAACGGCUCACCAAGCCUUCGAUCGGUAGCUGGUCUGAGAGGAUGAUCAGCCACACUGGGACUGAGACACGGCCCAGACUCCUACGGGAGGCAGCAGUGGGGAAUAUUGGACAAUGGGGGAAACCCUGAUCCAGCAAUGCCGCGUGAGUGAUGAA
rnacentral:rRNA from 1 species